AGUGAACGCUGGCGGCGUGGUUAAGACAUGCAAGUCGAGCGACAGCAGCAAUGCUGGAGCGGCAAACGGGUGCGUAACACGUGAGCAAUCUGCCCUUAAGACUGGAAUAGCCCUGGGAAACUAGGAUUAAUACCGGAUGUGGACGGGUCAGGCAUCUGACCUUAUCCAAAGCUUGUAACGGCGCUUAAGGAGGAGCUCGCGGCCUAUCAGCUAGUUGGCGAGGUAACGGCUCACCAAGGCUAAGACGGGU
rnacentral:rRNA from 1 species